rfam:Myotis lucifugus cont2.24975, whole genome shotgun sequence.
CUUGGGGUGGGGGUCCCUCAGCCCAGAUUUCAAGAGGGCACAGGCCAGGCCGAGGGACCCCACUGGUGCAUG